GGCUGGCUCAGUUGAGGAGGACUGUGAGUAAGAUGGCCUAAAAUAUCAAGCCAUACAAGGUAGCGUUUUUUCUAAAAUCAAUAUACAGCGCAGACAGGAAGUGGUUCGAUGAGACUUUUACUUAUA